rnacentral:tRNA from 1 species
UUUAUAGUUUAAAUAAAAACACAAGUCUCAUGAACUUAAAUUGUGGCUAACACUCCACUAAAC